rnacentral:rRNA from 1 species
GAUGAACGCUGGCGGCGUGCCUAAUACAUGCAAGUCGAGCGAACAGACGAGGAGCUUGCUCCUCUGACGUUAGCGGCGGACGGGUGAGUAACACGUGGAUAACCUACCUAUAAGACUGGGAUAACUUCGGGAAACCGGAGCUAAUACCGGAUAAUAUAUUGAACCGCAUGGUUCAAUAGUGAAAGACGGUUUUGCUGUCACUUAUAGAUGGAUCCGCGCCGCAUUAGCUAGUUGGUAAGGUAACGGCUUACCAAGGCGACGAUGCGUAGCCGACCUGAGAGGGUGAUCGGCCACAGUGGAACUGAGACACGGUCCAGACUCCUACGGGAGGCAGCAGUAGGGAAUCUUCCGCAAUAGGCGAGAGCCGGACGGAGCAACGCCGCGUGAGUGAUGAAGGUCUUCGGAUCGUAAAACUCUGUUAUUGGGGAAGAACAAAUGUGUAAGUAACUAUGCACGUCUUGACGGUACCUGAUCAGAAAGCCACGGCUAACUACGUG